rnacentral:rRNA from 1 species
GCAAGUCGAGCGCUUACCUUCGGGUAGGAGCGGCGGACGGGUUAGUAACGCGUGGGAAUAUACCCGACACUAAGGAAUAGCCUCUGGAAACGGAGAGUAAUACCUUAUACGCCCUUCGGGGGAAAGAUUUAUCGGUGACGGAUUAGCCCGCGUAAGAUUAGAUAGUUGGUGGGGUAAUGGCCUACCAAGUCUACGAUCUUUAGCUGGUUUGAGAGGAUGAUC